UGAGCAAACCUGCCCUUGACCCUGGAAUAACAGCUGGAAACAGCUGCUAAUACCGGAUACGACCUCCGAUGACAUCAUCUGGAGGUGGAAA
rnacentral:rRNA from 1 species